UUCAUUAAUGCCAUUCAUUUCUCUGAGGCUAUUCAUUUCUUCAAGGCUAUUCAUUUCUCAAAGCCAUUCAUUUCAAAUAAUAAUAACAAGGCAUUCAUUCCAAAAGAUAGUCACGUUUCCAAGGGCAUUCAUUUCAAGGCUAUUUGUUUCUUUGCAAUCUGCUACUCUUCUCAUCUGUUAUAAAGCUAUUUUGUUUUUGCUUCUUUCUUUCUUCACUACUCUAUUUAAGGUAACUGAGUUUCAUACUUACCGAUCCAAAGUUUUUCAUUUUUUUUUUUCAUUUCUAUGUAAUCAUCAUCUUACUGUGAUCAUUUUCCAUUUUUCAUAUAUGAAGUUCUUUCUUUGAUCAUCUUACUAUGAUGAACAUGCAUGUGUUCUAGAUCUAAAGUUCUUUCUUUGAUCAUCUUACUAUGUUAAUAUAUAUUUCUGGUGUAUGUCGUUUUUGUACUUUAUUACUUUUCGCUGUUUAUUACUUUGUUGCCUUCAAAAUGUUAACUUUCACUUACUUUAUUUCGUUUUUGUACUUUUUUGCUGUUUUAUAUUUUUUAUAUUUGUUAUAUUUUACCAUGAACAUGCAUAUGUUCUAGAUCUAAAGUUGGUCUUUUCUUUUUAUUUGGAUCUUCAUGUAACGUUCCAGAUCCGCUCUACAUUCAAUGUUUCUGUAAAAAAUGUUAACUUUAUUACUUUUUGUUGUUUAAUAUAUAUUUGUGAUGUGUUUCAGUGUUCAUUAUUUAUUUUUUAUAUUUUUUAUAUUUGUUAUAUUUUACCAUGAACAUGCAUAUGUUCUAGAUCUAAAGUUGUUUCUUUCUUUUUAUUUGGAUCUUCAUGUAACGUUCCAGAUCCGCUCUACAUUCAAUGUUUCUGUAAAAAAUGUUAACUUUAUUACUUUUUGUUGUUUAAUAUAUAUUUGUGAUGUGUUUCAGUGUUCAUUAUUUAUUUUUUUAUAUUUUUUAUAUUUUACCAUGAACAUGCAUAUGUUCUAGAUCUAAAGUUGUUCCUUUCUUUUUAUUUGUAUCUUCAUGUAAUGUUCCAGAUCUGCUCUACAUUCAAUAUUUUUGUAAAAAAUGUUAACUUUAUUACUUUGUGUUGUUGAAGAUAUAUUUGUGGUGUAUUUCGGUGUUCAUUAUUUAUUUUUUAUAUUUUUUAUAUUUGUUAUAUUUUACCAUGAACUUGCAUAUGUUCUAGAUCUAAAGUUGUUCCUUUCUUUUUAUUUGUAUCUUCA
rnacentral:lncRNA from 1 species